GUUCAAGAGCGCCAAACCCUUUUCCUCUGUUUUCCUUUUCACGCGGCUUCUUAGACACGCUUUCCAUCAUAUCAUUCAAAAAACCCUAAUUAUAUUCUCUUGCCAUUUCAUACAUCUGCGAUUUUAUUAGAAAUACCUGAUCUAUAGCAUGGCGAUUCUCAUCAAAGUGAUUGUUGGAAACCCUAAAUUGUAACCAGUGGAAUUGAAUUCAGGUAUGUUUAUUGUUUUGUACAUCGAUUAUUCAAGCUUUUAAUCUUACAAUCCUAUGAAACUUGUGAUGUUUGUUAUCAUCGAGUUUCCGUUUUCUUCCCCAUUCAUCAUCCUCUGUAAACCCCAGAGGAAUCUACACCAGUUAUUCGAGGAUUACUGAUUUAGUCUUGAUGGAAUGAUGGAUCUUUCAAAUGUUGUUUGUGAUUUUCAUCCCAGGUCUUCAAUUCUUUGAUUUCGAUAUUCACAGGUAUGAUUUAUUUCUAUUUUUAUUGGAAUUGCAAUUUUAUAGUUGUGGAUUUUAAGACAGGUGUUUGUUUUUUUAAUUUCAUCCCAGGUCUGAAAUGUUGACAUGUACAAUCAACUAUCAGGUUAUGUAGUUGAUAGAUUUUGACAUAGUUUGACCGAUUUAUUCUCUCAAGUGUAUCGUUGAGGUAUCAUUGCGUAUUUCCAAAACACAUUCCUGAUCCAUACGUUAACCUAGGGUUUUUCUAAUCAAUAUCAAACACUAAUACCCAAAUUGUCUUGAUAUUUUUACUGUUGAGGUGAAUAUUAGGGUUUAUUGCUUGCUUAUCAUCUCAUAUUCCUUUUCGUUUAGUAGUUUUGUAAUUGAAUGUUGAAGUAAAGUUUGUUGCGAAUAUUACGCAUGUAUUAGUUGUUUCUGAUUGUUAAUUGAUUUAGAAAAUGUUUUGUGUUAAAUGAAGACGAGAACAAGGUCUUUAGUGUAGUAUUCAAAACUCCUCCGUAAGUUUCUUUUCAGAAUCUAGAAAUUGUUGUCUAUUUGUUUAUGCGCAUAUGCAUUGUUAAUUGAAGCAGCUGAAUAUUUAAUAAUGUAGUAGACCGUUAUGUGUAAUUAGUUCCAAUCUUAGAUUAUAAAAAAUUUUAUUAAGUAUAUACACGGCAGCCAAAGAUUGCACCACGUUAUACUAAUUGUCACUUGACUCACUUUAUCCGACUGCAGGAAAGAUUUGACUGGAAUUCCUCAUAUAUAGGAACACAGUGUCCUAUUUGGUUCAAGAAAGUACCCUUUAAAAGAACCAUUUGUUGAACUACUGAAGGGGAGUUUGCAUACUUUUCUUAAUGCAUUCACAUAUCCUGAUAAGACAUGCUAUCAUGUUGCAUCUACAAACACAAAGGAUUUUUAUAAUUUGGUAGAAGUAUACAGGGGCGGACCUACAUAGGUCUUUACGGGUUCCCAGGAACCCAUUGCGUUUUGAAAUUUUAAUAGAAAUUAUAUGUAAAAAACCAAAGUGAACCCAUAAGAAAAUUAAAGGUGAACCCAUUAACACUAAAGAAGCAUGUUCCAGCGGAUAAAAUUCAGGUUUCUGUCCAAAGCGUUUCAGGGCUCCAGACACAAUCAGAAACGCAACCAGUAGUGAAGUAGUGAACCCUGAAUCAAUUUUGCACCUUCUUCUUUUCCUCCUGAGAAGAAAGGAUCUGAUGACCAUCAAUGGGCUCAGAGGCAUCUCAACUAAGUACUAAGUUAACGACCAUGACAGCCACCAGCGCUCACGGUUCUGUAGACUUUAUUCUGUUGUCAUAGAUCACACUUAUACCGUCAAUAAUCUAAGUGAAUUUGAACAUUUUGUCAUAAUUUUUUAGCAACUGAGACGCGUUUUCAUAUUGUUCAGAUUUAUUAAAUUAGAGGAUAUAUGUUUACUAUAUUUCUCCCAAGUCUAAUUAUUAUUGUGUAAUAAUAGGUCUCCACUUUAGUAAUAGAAACUUAGCUCAAUUUGUGGUCUGUUUUAAGCACAUCAUAUGCCCACCACCCUUAGGUAAACCUUGCUACAUGAUAUUGAUAGACUAAUAGUUAUACAUAUAUUGACUUUACAGGAACAAUUCAAGGUUUAGGAAAUGAAUGCAAUUUGAAGUAUAAAUAUGUCUCUUAAUCAAACACAAAAGAAGCCCUAAUUAGUUCAUUAUGAUACAAAUUAUUUCGUGAAAGGAAACAAUAAUACUGACUACCCCAUUUGCAAGUCGGAAUGCCAUAAAUUUCAUCGUCGGUACAAGCAUCACAGAGAAUGGAGGAGUGUAAUCACGAUUUAAGGUAACUUUCGAAUUACUCCGACCUUCCCUUUUUUAUUGAAUACUUGUGUUAUACGAAUAUCAAUUUUGAAUUUGUGAUUUAGUUUUAUUGAAACUUGAGAAUGGUUAUUGAAAAAAAUUCAUCAACGUUUGGUAUGUUCCCCUAACCCGACUCAAAAACUCUAACUUUUGGUUGGGAAAAAAUUGACCUUCGAAAAAAGUGAACCCAUAUGAAAAAAAUUCUGGAUCUGCCACUGGAUGUAUAUCUGGAUGCUGUUUUCUUUCCCCAAAUGUGUGGAGGACAUUCAGACUUUUCAACAAGAGGGUUGGCAUUAUGAGUUGAACAACCCUGAAGAAGAAAUAACUUAUAAAGGUCAAUAUGAUUUUCGCCAAGUAAUCCUUACUGAUCUUGAGUUUUUAGUUUUUAUUAUAAAUAUAUAUUCUAUUGUUAUUUAUAUGAUUACAUGCUCGCAUAGACUUCUCCUAUUAAUCAAAUUCCUUUAUUAAAUGAGCUCAAAUUAAAGGUUUAGUUGGCCUGAACACAUAUAAACUCGGCUCGAUAUUAACUUGCUAAACCGAAGAUUUUCGUUUUUAACUUUCAUCAAUUUCAUAAAUACGUCUUAUUUCAAACUGACUUCGAAAUAUAGUUCUAUACAAAUGGUUGAGCUGCGAUCAUUCUAUUGUUUUAUUUGAAAAGUUUUAUUUCUACAGCAAGCAAUUGACGGAUUCAUGUAUAUGACUUAACUUUGCACAUGAUAAAGAUUUACUUGGCAUGUAGCUUUUAAAGAAACUUUUUGAACCAACUAACAAAUUGGGCGGGUUGGGCAGGUGUGGGUCACCUGUUAAAGUGACUUUGGGUCAGAAUGAGUUCAGGUCAAUAUGGUUUAGGAUUAAAAUGAGUUUGGGUUAAGACGGGCUCAGAGCAAAAUGAGUUCGGUUCAUUUAAAAAACUUAUUAAUUAAGAUCGGGUAAACGUGAGUUUGGAGCAAAAUUAAUUUGGGUCAAACAGGUAGUUUAAAAGAAAAACUUUCAAACUUUUGGAAUCUCUUGAAAAAAGUAAAGACUAGAAAAUAGUGCGAGUUGGGUAACGGUGAAACAGGUGGUUUGAGAUACGGGUUAAAAAGGUGAGUCAACUUAGUUAACCUCUUACACCAUUACCAUUUAUUAUAGUUUUAUAGUUGUUUAGUACAUGGUAACUGAGUUUGUGCUUAUGCAGUCUAGAAACCACAAGGCAUGUUUCAGUGAUUAUAAUAACUCUCUCUACAAAGGAACUGAAUACAUCAUCUAUUGGGUUUUACAUCAGAUGGGUCAAAUAAAGGGUUAGUGAAAAGGGACAAACGAGUUUAAUGUUGGCUCAAAGCCAGUAUUUAUUUCAAAUAGGUCGAACAAAAUAAAUCUGAAAGGCAGCCAUUGUAACGGGUCGAAUGGGUUGAAAGUGGCUGAAAGUAUGUUUAUAAUGCAAACGCCCUUUUUCAUUGUUUAAUUCAAAGAUAUAGAUGAUCAUUGUAAUUAUAUUGUUUCUGAAAUCAUACAUAUUGAAAUAAUUGUUUUGCAGAUAUCAGCCCACAUUAUCAGCUAAUCAGAUGAAAGUGGCAACUGAGUUUGAGUAUCAUGGAGGUAUGUCUUUCUAGGCAUUUGUUUAUCAAGCAUUAAUGAUGAAGAGUGCACGUGUAGCUAAGGAAGUCGAUCACAAGCUCUAUACUACUGGCCCGAAAGAAAGCAAUAAAGGCUUUGGUGGUCACGAUCUCGAACAACGAGAGGUUGUGGUAAAAUUCCCACCCUAUCACAAACCCGAUCCCGAUGAGUCUACUGUUUCGUAGGAGAUGACGAGUGAGGAUGGUGGUAUGUGGAAGUAAGCAACAACAGCAGCUGCUGUAGCACCAGAGCCGAUGAACCAAAUUUCCCCCGCCGCCUCAAUAGAACGUGAUAUCCAAACCCGAUGCAUCCAAAUUUGAUGCGAAGGGGCAGGGAAAAGAGACAACACUGUAAGUCUGUAAGAAUUUAGUUUCCAAAUUGUAGUAUAUGUCUUAACUCUUUUGAUUUGCAUGAUAACCCUCACAGUGUAUAUACUUUGCAUUCUCUCUAAUUAUUGUUGUAGUUAUAAUCUAUUAAUCUGAUACUUUUAUUGUAGUUUAAUUUCGGGUGAUUGUUUUCGACAAAAGAUUUCGAAUCUAUUUUUUCGUCUUUUUAUUUUAUUUUUUAAAUUUUUAUAGUUGAACAACAAAAACGUGAUACUACAUGUCAUAUAAAGAAUUCCGGAAGAAAUUAUGACGUUGGGGACAAAAAAUGACAUGCGAACAUCACAAUCAAGUUAGCCAACCAAGUCAGCAGGCUUUUUUCCGUAUACGAUGAUUUUGGUAGUUUGCUCAACUCCAGAACUUUUAGUAAUAAUCACCCUUUAUGUAUAUUAUGCUAGACAUGCGACAUUAGUGACUCAAAAGGAAUUACCUAUUUCGUAAUCUACUUAUCUAUUUAUACUAUCAUCUUUGUAAUAGCGAUCUAUUGGGAUGGAUGAGAAGUCUGCCACAUCUCACCCUUCCCAGCUCUACUUUAUUAGUAAGACAUUACUAAGAAUGUUGUUUGUUUUUAUUUUGCUAUUUGAUCGCGCUAUGCUGUUUUUUUUAAGCCAACAAAAACUGAAAGCUCAAUAGGGCAGUUGAUCUCAUGCCUGGGUUGUUGAGCAUGAAGAAUCCAAUAAAAUGAAUGCUAGAAACAUUAGCAUGGUUAUCGCCCCAACAUGACUCAGGUAAAUCUUUUUAAAUAUUCAUAUUAAUGUCCACAAUCCUUAUCACCUUACUAAAACCAAGGUAAUAUUUUUGUGGAGUUAAUGCAGAGAGCCAAAUGUUAAUAAGUCAACUCCAUAUAAUUCUUCAGGUAGAAAAAUGGGCGGGUUGGGUCACUGGUUAGACGGGUAUAUUUUUCAUACCAAAUGGCUGCCAGUAGGGAUGAGCGUGGUACUGGUACCGGUACCGAAAAAUGUUCGGUAUUGUACCGACACAGGACCGGUGUGGUUCUGGUAUUUGAAGGCAAAAUUCGGUAUUUUUCCGGUGCCGAACUGAAGGUACCGGUACCAACAAGGCCAAAAACUGGGUACCGAAUACAAAUCCGAAAAAUUCGGUACAUGUAAUUUGGUACCCAGUACCAAAUGCUCAUCCCUAGCUGCCAGUCCAGCACUUUUUUGUCCAUUUUUCUAAUUUGUUACUUAGUUUGUACACAUAUCUUCAUAAUAAUCUGUAUAAUUUUGUCUUUAGUGUUAGUCUAUAAGCUUGCAGAUAUGUGGUUGUGCAUAUAAAAAAUAUUCAAGGACAUAAUGGGUUAUGCAUUUGAGGAAUAAUCAUGCGACUGGUAAUUUGAGGUAUGUAGUUAUGGUUUAGCCUGCUUUUAGGGAGUCAAGUGGAAUUUAAGAGAGUAUACUGGCUUUAACAUGAUUAAGCUGCAGUAGUGAUUUUCUAUGUUCAUGUUAUAAGAAUUGGGGUUAUUGUACAUAUUAACAUCAGUCUGCUCUAUAUGAUCUUAUUUCAAGUAGUUUUAGUUUCAUGACAUACUCAUAAGCAAAACAAGUAAAGGCAAUUAGUAUUAUUGUUAUUAUUAUUCUAGAAGGCAACAAUAUGCUCUUUCUUGGAAUAAUAAAUUUUUUAACUACACUGCAAGUUUGAUCUUAUAAAAAGAUUCUACUAACCAUAUUACCAAAGCAUUGUUUAGAUCAUAUUAGGCUGAAUUCACAACAAGAUGGAUCUAUAGAAACUAAUACCAGCUGUUUGGACACAACCAUCAGCAGUGUUCUUUUAUACAACCCGUAUAACACACGUGAACUUAAUUUAUGAUUAUUUCCAUGAUAUAAGAGAUUUUUUCAUUACAAGAUAUUAUUUAGACUUAUAUAUUAUAUAGGAUGCAUCACUCACAUAGUAUAAAACUUUUUAGGUUAGGCAUACCCAAUAAAGAUUUGAAACAUCCACUGGUCGUAUGUUUCGCAAUGACAAUCAACAAAAGUCAAAGGCAGUCACUUUCUAGAGUUGGUUGGUAUUUGAAACAACCCGUCUUCUUUCAUAGUCAAUUGUGUGUUACGGGUAGGCAAUCCUAUGGAUAUUGUAGCAGGUUGAAAAUUCUUGGUCUAUUCUAAUUUUAGAUUGAAAAAUAAUGACCAUUUGUUCAUCUCUUCAAUACAUUUUGCAAGACUUAUAUUAAUUUUUUUUGCCCUCAUGUAAGUUUGACUUUUUUUUUGUCUAUGUUGAAUUCUAGCCUAAUCCAGAUUCCACUAGAAACUUUGUUAUUUCUCAUGGUUGCACUGAAGUGGCAGCCCAAGCCUAUAGUUUGGUUGACUUUGAGCAUAAAAGGGUUAGUAAUAUCUUCUCUUAAUUUUGUUGACUUGAUGGUUCUAGAGAAAAGUUGUGGCUGUUUUAAAGGUAAGAGAAUGGGUGUAUAGGGCGGGUCAAUAACGCGUCAUAACACUAACAAGUUAUGGUGGAAUACCAGGAUGAAUGGUGUUCUUUACGUGCUUCAAAGUAUGUUAAAACCCUUAAAUCAUAUCUCCCUUUAUAUAUUAUGCACAUGUUACCCUUUCUGUGGCUACCAUUUGACCUAAUCACUCAUUAGUGGUAUACAAAGUCAACUUCACCUAUAUUUCACCUUAUUGAUUAAUAUUCUUUUUUUACUACAUUAGUUGAAUGGUUUGAAUAACAUGGCGUUUGGUUAUUGAUAUCUUGAACAUUAUAUUUCACCCAACACUUGCAGUGGAUAUCACCAAUCAACUCUAAGCUUUUGACAUGUUUCAUUUAAAUUUCUUUAUUUUGACAUGUUUCAUAUUUUUUAGAAUUAUUUUGACCUGUUUAACCUAAUUCAUUUUAAUUUCUGUACCUUGACCCACUUAAUAUUAACUAUAAUUUACCAUUUGUAAAAUUAAAUAUAAAAGCAGUGUUUGAAUUAUACUUCAAAUAUUUAACCAUUUCACUAAUGAUUUAAUUUUUUUUUGUUGGAUCAGUUCUUUGGUGAGCGUAAAUGAAAGCUUUCGAAGAUGUCUGAUGUAAAAAAAUUGCAUUUUGUUCCUGAUGCUCAUGAACCUAUGAUGAUAUUCAAGUGAUAUUGGAUUUCAAUAUACUUUAAGUGCAAAUCUAUAUAUGUGUGUCAGGUUAUUUGUUUGGAGAGGAAAGAUCCCAACACCAAUAGCUCUAGGGAACAUGGGGUAACUUUAAACAUGAUAGCAUGUGCAUUUUGUGAGGUGGCAGCUGAAACAAGAGACCACUUAUUGGUUCGAUUUUGCACUGCAGAUUCAGUGUGGCAGGAGCCAUCUAUAUGGCUAAAAGCUCCAAGGAGUUUAUGGAACGCGAGGAACCGUAAAGUCUUUUCAUGAAAGGAACACUUUGAUUUAUAUAGUGGUGGAAGAGAUGAAGGAAGAAUUGUUUGAAUGAGUAAAACACAUAUGGCGAAAGGCACACGGGUGACAUGAAAUGAAUUGCCAAGAUUUGAUUUCGCAAAGAUUUGAUUACUUUGUAUGUAGUAUGUUUGUUUGCUAUAGGGUGUUGCUUUACGAUCUGUAAUUAGGACUGAUAUAGCAUCUUGCUGUUUUGUCUAUUUUGGUUAUGAAUUAAAAAUCUCUAGCAUCAUGGUAUGGUGGCUUCAAGAUCAAUGUUAUUUGUUGCAUGCUCAGAAACAUGCUAUUUUGGGA